rnacentral:tRNA from 1 species
UACAUUUUAGUGUAUGGGGCACAAAAAUUUUUGAUGUUUUUGGGAAUAGUUUAAAUCUAUUGAAUGUAG